rnacentral:rRNA from 1 species
AUUGAACGCUGGCGGCAGGCCUAACACAUGCAAGUCGAGCGGAGCGGCGGACGGGUGAGUAAUGCCUAGGAAUCUGCCUGGUAGUGGGGGAUAACGUCCGGAAACGGGUGCUAAUACCGCAUACUAUCAGAUGAGCCUAGGUCGGAUUAGCUAGUUGGUGGGGUAUAGGCCUACCAAGGCCACGAACCGUAACCGGUCUGAGAGGAUGAUCAGUCAAACUGGAAAUGAGACACGGGCCAGACGCCUACGGGAGGCAGCAGUGGGGAAGAUUGGACAAUGGGCGAAAGCCUGAUCCAGCCAUACCGCGGGUGUGAAGAAGGUCUUCGGAUUGUAAAGCACUUUAAGUUGGGAGGCGUUACCAACAGAAUAAGCACCGGCUAACUUCGUGCCAGCCGCCGCGGUAAUUC